GAUGAACGCUGGCGGUAUGCUUAACACAUGCAAGUCGAACGGACUCUUCGGAGUUAGUGGCGGACGGGUGAGUAACGCGUGAGAAUCUGGCUUUGGGUUCGGGACAACCACUGGAAACGGUGGCUAAUACCGGAUGUGCCGAGAGGUAAAAGAGAAAUUGCCUGAAGAUGAGCUCGCGUCUGAUUAGCUAGUUGGUGAGGUAAAGGCUCACCAAGGCAGCGAUCAGUAGCUGGUCUGAGAGGAUGACCAGCCACACUGGGACUGAGACACGGCCCAGACUCCUACGGGAGGCAGCAGUGGGGAAUUUUCCGCAAUGGGCGAAAGCCUGACGGAGCAAUACCGCGUGAGGGAAGAAGGCUCUUGGGGUGUAAACCUCUUUUCUUAGGGAAGAACAAAAUGACGGUACCUAAGGAAUCAGCAUCGGCUAACUCCGUG
rnacentral:rRNA from 1 species